GCAAGUCGAGCGGUAGCACAGAGAGCUUGCUCUCGGGUGACGAGCGGCGGACGGGUGAGUAAUGUCUGGGAAACUGCCUGAUGGAGGGGGAUAACUACUGGAAACGGUAGCUAAUACCGCAUAACGUCGCAAGACCAAAGUGGGGGACCUUCGGGCCUCAUGCCAUCAGAUGUGCCCAGAUGGGAUUAGCUAGUAGGUGGGGUAAUGGCUCACCUAGGCGACGAUCCCUAGCUGGUCUGAGAGGAUGACCAGCCACACUGGAACUGAGACACGGUCCAGACUCCUACGGGAGGCAGCAGUGGGGAAUAUUGCACAAUGGGCGCAAGCCUGAUGCAGCCAUGCCGCGUGUAUGAAGAAGGCCUUCGGGUUGUAAAGUACUUUCAGCGAGGAGGAAGGCGUUAAGGUUAAUAACCUUGGCGAUUGACGUUACUCGCAGAAGAAGCACCGGCUAACUCCGUGCCAGCAGCCGCGGUAAUACGGAGGGUGCAAGCGUUAAUCGGAAUUACUGGGCGUAAAGCGCACGCAGGCGGUCUGUCAAGUCGGAUGUGAAAUCCCCGGGCUCAACCUGGGAACUGCAUUCGAAACUGGCAGGCUAGAGUCUUGUAGAGGGGGGUAGAAUUCCAGGUGUAGCGGUGAAAUGCGUAGAGAUCUGGAGGAAUACCGGUGGCGAAGGCGGCCCCCUGGACAAAGACUGACGCUCAGGUGCGAAAGCGUGGGGAGCAAACAGGAUUAGAUACCCUGGUAGUCCACGCCGUAAACGAUGUCGACUUGGAGGUUGUGCCCUUGAGGCGUGGCUUCCGGAGCUAACGCGUUAAGUCGACCGCCUGGGGAGUACGGCCGCAAGGUUAAAACUCAAAUGAAUUGACGGGGGCCCGCACAAGCGGUGGAGCAUGUGGUUUAAUUCGAUGCAACGCGAAGAACCUUAGCUACUCUUGACAUCCAGAGAACUUAGCAGAGAUGCUUUGGUGCCUUCGGGAACUCUGAGACAGGUGCUGCAUGGCUGUCGUCAGCUCGUGUUGUGAAAUGUUGGGUUAAGUCCCGCAACGAGCGCAACCCUUAUCCUUUGUUG
rnacentral:rRNA from 1 species